rnacentral:misc_RNA from 1 species
GAAGGCCUCUCUUUCCCGGCCUAUCGGCGGACAGAGACACGGCUGUUCCUGCUUCCGCCAUCGGGGCAACCGACCUUGGUCCAGGUUGCCUCCAUCGAUCCAGUCGAAUUGGAAGAGGCGCGGCA